rnacentral:lncRNA from 1 species
GAGAUUCCCCCACAUGAGGAUUUAGUAGCAGGUCUGGAGACAACUUUGGUUGUGGGCACUCUUUUGUGAAGGCUCAGGGACACUUUCACAGGGUGACAGACCCACUGUCACAGUGGUUUUUUCAUUUAUCAUGGAUAAAGUCACUACAAACCUUAUCAGCUUUUGGUUCAAUGUCAUGACAAGCAACAGUGCAAAAGUCAAGAGGAGGUGAUAUAGGACUGAACCUGAAAACAAGUUCCUGCUUAAUAAGAGAGAGCCAAGGUUUGGGGGAGAGGUCAUAUCUUUUACAAGAAAUAUAUAUUUUAAUAUUAAAAUACCUCCCCUUUCAAACCAUGCCUCUUGUAUUACCUCAGACUAUGCCAGCUCCUAAAACGUGACUGGAAAAUGUUCGGAAAUGCCUAAAAAUGGAUUUUAUCCCAGUGUUGUCAUUCUAUUGUUAACAAACUUUUGUGACUCAUUUCAUCCUUCUGACUUGCACCUUGUUCUUACCCCACACCAAAGCAAGAGGCUUCAACUUUUCAAGGUGCCAAAGGUUUCUUAUUAAGUCCCAAAAUACCAUCCCUGCUUUCCGUGGGAGCUGAGGGGAUCAGAAUGUUCCAGGAAGAGCCCAGAUUUUUUUUGGUCCAUGCCUUCCCUUUGUUAUACAGCCAGCAGAGCCUCAAGGAUGGCAUAUGGCCUUAUUAAAUUUGCUUUUUUUUUAAAAAUAACGAGUCCACAGUGCUGCCUGAGUUUUAAUAGCGCUGUGUUUAUGUCCAUUUCCCUUGGAUAAGUGAGAUAUUUCUACAGAAUUCAGCACCUUCAGAGCUGGCUGCAUUUUCCUGCAAUAAUUCCUUAUUUUUCAGGCUAGGGGGAGUUUUUCUGGCUAUUUUUUUCUGGCUUUCCCACAGCCCAAAACUGACUUAAGAUAUCAUUCUUCGUUUUCGUCCCCAAAUCUGUUGGGGGAUCUGAUUCCCCAGCUCUGAUGCUCACUCUAAGAGCUCAGCCUUGGGCUUUCUAAAAACUCACAGCCAAGGGCACUGAAAGAAUUUGCAUCAGCUGAGGCCUGGGGAGGUGUUUGCAACUUCAGAUUGGGCUAAAAGUCCACAGAUUUGGUAAAUCAGAUUUGGCUGCACAACCCUCUGGAUCACUUCUAUGCUGACUCCAUCAGCUCCCGUGUUCAGUGCAUCAGAUGCUUUUGCAAUAUUAGGGUUAUUUUCCUAAAAAAGGUGACUUUUAUCAGAAAAAACAAAUGUCUUUGCAUCUUCUUAUGACAAGAGCAACCUGCAUCAGCCACAUUUUGGUAAUUCAAACAGCAGAGAUCACCUGUAACACUUUAUAUGAACAGCUCAGUUCUUUUCUCAGGAAAAGAAGUGCCUGGUUUGCAGGAAGCAAAAAGAGUUGGAAUCAAUCUGGUAUUAGAAACUAUACCAGGUAUUUAAAGAAACUAUUCUGCGCUCAUUUCUCAUUUGGUAUAGUCUGGAAAUAUUUAAACAAUGAUUGAAAUCUGGUUGGUUUUACAUCCCAUGCCUAUUUUAUAAUUUAUUUAGCUACUUGAGGAGUUCCAGAAGAUAAAUCCCUUAAACUUGCAGGCUUUAGCAGCCAGAUGUCCUCUCCGAGGUGUGUCCAGGCCUGGUUAUCAUGAUAGGAUUUUGGGAUCAUUGUAGAAACCAAGAACACUGUGAGAAUACCCGGCUGUUUUUGUCCUUUGAAAAUUUCUCUUAGCAGCAACAACAGAAGUUUUUAGCACAUGGUUUGUUUUCUGUUCUUUAUUAAGGUAUUUUUCAUCUGUAUUCCCAUGACAAUUUGUCACCCCUGUGCACCUUAGAUGGAUGUGUGAGGCAAGAUAAUAAUUCCCUGUCAUUCUUCCAGGACAAUUUUAUUUCUUCCCCUUGCUCUUUAUCCAGAAAAGGUCUCACACAGAUCUGCAGUCGGAAUCUCUCAAGUUUUAAGGUUUCUGACUGUCCCCCCCUAGAAAUAGGAUUGGUCCUUGAGAUUUGUGUUUGCUCCAUGACAUCCUGGCCACUUAGGGAGACAAGGAAAAAAAAAAAAAGUAAAAAUUAAUAACUUUCCAAUGAAGGUGAAAUUUGACUCACCCAACUGUCGACAUUUACAGCGUCGUUGUCCCACUUGUGUAGAUUAAUGAAUGGAUGCCACAUUUAGGAAGGAAUGUGCCUUUCUUGGAUGCAAUUCCUGUCAUUGUAAAGCAGCUGCCUGCACUUUGUCAGGUGAAUCAUGACCUAGAAAUGUCUGCAUCUGUCUUGACUUUAGAAGGAGUCCGAGAUACCAACUCAAACACAGGCAUCGAUCUCUGUUUGUUCAGAUAAUGAGGCUCCCAGUGUCCCAAGAUCAAAUCAAUUUUUAAAGUGUGCCCUGCAGACUGCUCACCUGUCAAGGUGAUCUCCUGUUUCUUCCAAUCUUUAUGGGAGGAAAAGAACUUCUCACUUUUAACACUGUGACUCAAGUUGAUAAUAUUUAAAAGUUUGAUUUCUGUAAAAGAUCUCAUUGGAACUUUAAUGGCCACUUAACACUGUAAUUAUACAGCAGCACUUCCAAACAAUCUAAUUUUCAUCCCAAACAACCUCAUUUUCAUAUUCUUCCCCAGCACAGGGUUUCAGCAGAGAAGUAUCACCUGCUGAAAAUCUCAAGCUGCUUUCAGUCUUGCUCUUCUGUCCAGAUUUGGCCACAACCAAUUUUGCUCAUUUUGGGAAUUCAGAAUUGAACAAGAUCAGCUUGCCAAGCUCCUCCAAAGGGACACUGCAAGGUCCUGCAGCUCCUCUUCUAGAUUUUUAUUGCAACAGGUAUAAACAAUUCAAAGGCUUGAACUGCCAUGUCUGGUACCUCAUUUUUGAAGAAGGAAUCCUUCAGUGUAUCCACAACUCUUGCACAAAGCUGACACCUUUUCUCUGGCAGAACAAGUGGCAUCAUUUGUUUUCACCUUCCAAAGAGAUUUUAGAGCAUUAAUGUCAAUGAGCCAAUGCUGAGACAUUCUUCGUGUUCCAAAAAGCACAGAAUCCUGCUGAUUCCUCUGUGCACAUCUCUCUGGAAUCUGGACUCUGUGGGAUGCUCCAGCAGCUGUUGCAUGACUCAAAGAACAAGAGGUGUUCAGCUCCCAAAGCCACUGGCCAGGGCUGCACAUGGGAGACCCAAGUGGGAAAACAAUUACAGGUGCAGUGGGAUGAGAGGAACUAUGCUGAUAACACUGGGGAAAAGGAGCUUGUUGCCUUGGCAUGAAAUGAAGGAGCAAAAAUUUAAGAUGGCUGUUGCUCCAAUGUGGAUUAAUAAAUUCAGGAUGGAAUAAGCCACCAUGGAAAUGUGUCAGUACUUUAAAAAAUCCAAACCUCUACAAACGUUUAAGAUUUAAUAUUGCUGGUAAAAUUCACUUCAUCUGGCUUAGAUAACUAAAUUUAACUCCCCAAACUCAAACUAGUGCUGCUCAACUUUGUCUUUGAUCUUUGGAGAAGAACACUCACCCCUCCUAGCAGAGAUAUCUAAAGCAGGAGAGAUCAAUCAGGCUCUGGAAAUGCCAAUUUCCUUCCACUGACUACAGAAGGAGACAGGGGUGAUCCUCUAACACAAUGUAGAGAUCACAGGCCAUUUUCAAUACUCAUGAAGCAAAUUCCUUUGUGUAGGAAUGAGGCAACAUUCCUGCUGUCCUUCUUCCAUCUGCAAUUCAUCAGAGAAGUUUCAGACAUUAACACCAAGGGGCAAAAUCACUGUAAAAAGUAGAGAUCUUCAUUAUUUUUUGGAAUAACAAAGCCUACCCCUCUCAAAAAGCCUCUCAGACUCAGAUCCCAAACCUUGACAUAGUUUGAUAGAAGCAACUUGGCUUAUCUGAUUUCCACCACUUCUUUUCCAUCUUGAAAGCUUGUGCUUUAAUUGCCCAAGUAUUUUCUGGGCAGGCCAUGGAGUUUUCAUGGAAUUUCUGACUUUUCAGCCUUUUGUAGUUAGGCUUGUGCUUCACUGCCUUGUUGCUCUGAGUUUGGGAGGAGCAGUGCUUUUCCUAUAACAAGGUUGCAGGGUUUUUUUGUUUAAUUAGUCUGUUAAAGGGAUUUCUGCUUUAGAAAAAUGAUCAUAAAUAAAUCCCUCCUGCUGUGGGGCAUCACACAACACCACAGGCCUCCAUACUUGGAUUCUUGGCUUGCCACAGGCCUCCAUGCUUGGAUUGCUCUUCCACUGGCCCAUCAAGCUUCCAGAGGAACAUCUUGUUAAUUAAAGACUAGGGCAGAGGAACGCUGUGAUGAGAAUGUGUCUAAUCCUAGAUCCUUUCCUAUUUAAAGAGAUUCAUUCUUCCUGACCAGGGGUUUUGUCAAGCUUUUUACUUUUCCAUGAGCUGUACUGCUACAAGCUCCCCCAGUGCUGGGUAGAUCCCACCUGCAGAGCUAGGCUCUCCUCAAAAAACAGGUAGUGUUUAAAAAUUAAGAUACCCAGGUGCAGGUUUGCCAUGAGGAAAGCUCCUCAGGACAAGGUGCAGGUGUGAUGUGGGAAAGGAGGGAUUCCUACAUGGACAGAAUUGGCAAGGAGGAACUGCGGGGCUGUGGUAGAGCUGACUGCAGACAUCUGCUGGGAGGAUGUAGUGUCUGACAGAACUAAAACAUAGUGACUGACACAACCAAGGGCAUCCCUUCUUGUGUUGGACUCCUGCUGCUUCUAAAAGUCCCUCAAAUGUCCAGAAUAAAAUCUAAUGGAGGGCAGAGAUGGAAGAACUUUGAUAAAACAUUUGUCCUUAUCUCCUUUGAGCUCACAAUGUUCCUCAAACCUCCUCCAGCCUCUGGCUGGAACUGCAUUUUGCUAAGGAUUGCAGAUGCAAUUCUCAAAAUAUGUUUGGUGUUUUUUGUAUAAGAUAUUCCUUUUAAGUAGUUCUGCAGCCUUUCCCACCUGGGUAUUUCAUAUUUACUUACCCACCCAUUUGGAGUGGGGAGACAAGUCAAAAGAGGGAUUAAUCCCACUUGACUUUCUCUCCCUGAAAGAGUCUGGUCUGAGUUCUUUGCAUCUGCUUCCUCUACCAUCAGUGGAAAGAGAUGUGCAGCUUUGGAGAGGAAUUCCACAUAACUUUUCUGUGUUUUUCAAUAACUCAGAUGAAAAACAUAUUAUUUACCUGAGUAAAGGCAACUUGAGAAGGUAGAAAUUGCAAAAUCAUGCACUAAAUAAAUUCCUGAAACACUGUUGAGAGACAGGAACAUUUCUGUUGGAAGCCUGUAUUUUUGGUGGUUAUGAAGUCAGCUGGAUCCCACUUCUUGGAGCUGGGAUUUAAACUGCAGCAUCAGAUUUUCCUGGCUAUUUUCUGACUACUCUUUUCUUGAUUUCAGACAAUUCAGGUUGGUUGUGAAGUAAAAUCAAUGUGUUUGACUAAAUUAGCCAGUUACCAGGAUGCUUCAGGCACAGGUUGGGAUUCUUGGAACUGUCCUGUGCAGGGCCAGGAGCUGGACUUUGAUCAUCCUUGUGGGUUCCUCCCAGCUCAGGAUAUUCUGUGAUUCUAUGAUUCUAAAGUUUCUUUAACUCAGAAAAGUCAAAGUUGGGUGCAGUGAGACUGGAGUGGAUGUGGUACUUGAGGACAUGGUUUGAUGGUGAAUAUGGUGCUGGGUUUAUGGUUGGAUUUGAUGAUCAUAGAGAUCUUCUCCAACCAGUUUCCAAGGAUUAUUGCAGGGCUGCAGUCAUUUGCAUCUCAUCCUGAUCAUUCCAAAAAAGAGCCCCCUCCAAAUGAACCUGUGGCCUGGAGUCACAGAUCCUCUGUGGAUGAUCCUUCAUUAUGAGAACUCAUCCACCCGAAAAAUAGAUUGUUGAUAAUGUUAAAGGCACAAACUCAAAUCCCAGCUGUGGGAAGCUGAACACCACUUCACCUGGCCCAAAAAUAACUGGUGGGUGAGCAAGAAGCAGAAGUUUGGACAGCACAGACUCAUCCAGGAGCUGGGGUGGCAGAAAGCCAUGACUCAAACACACACUCGUGUCCCUCAUUGAAUAGUUUUUACAUUUCUUUAAAUGUUGGGGUUUCAACCAAGUUUUCAUGCUUUUUAUUAAGGCAAAAGUCCGUGCUUGUGAAAUUGUGAACUUGAUGUGUUAUUUUGUAUCUGUUUAAAAAAAAAGAAAAAUGUAUUUAAAGCUAAAGAGCCGUUAUUGUGCGGGGUUUUCUCUCAAACUGGUGCAUACACUUUACAUCAGGGACCUACUAUACAUAACAAAAAAUCAGUGCUACAGUUACUGUAAAACCAGAUACACACCUUUUACUGUAAUAAUAACUUUUAAAACCUUGCACUGUAAUGGUUGCUAUUAAAAAAAAAAAAAA